CCUACGGGAGGCAGCAGUGAGGAAUAUUGGUCAAUGGGCGCAGGCCUGAACCAGCCAAGUAGCGUGAAGGAUGACUGCCCUAUGGGUUGUAAACUUCUUUUAUAUGGGAAUAAAGUUUUCCACGUGUGGAAUUUUGUAUGUACCAUAUGAAUAAGGAUCGGCUAACUCCGUGCCAGCAGCCGCGGUAAUACGGAGGAUCCGAGCGUUAUCCGGAUUUAUUGGGUUUAAAGGGAGCGUAGGUGGACAGUUAAGUCAGUUGUGAAAGUUUGCGGCUCAACCGUAAAAUUGCAGUUGAUACUGGCUGUCUUGAGUACAGUAGAGGUGGGCGGAAUUCGUGGUGUAGCGGUGAAAUGCUUAGAUAUCACGAAGAACUCCGAUUGCGAAGGCAGCUCACUGGACUGCAACUGACACUGAUGCUCGAAAGUGUGGGUAUCAAACA
rnacentral:rRNA from 1 species